AAUUUGUAUUUUUUCAAUAUUGUAUAAAAAUAGUGUUCUAAUUCCCUCACCCCCUUCCCUUGCAGGGUUUUUCAUCUCCAUCAUUCCCCUCAUGUGGAUUUAGGGCCGGAUGGGAAACACUAAGCUGGGAUUCCAAAAAAAAAAAUAAUAAUGCCCAAAAAUUGGGGAAGCACAGCUGGCUGUGUGAGACACAACAGGAUGGAUUCACUGAGCUUUCCAGGCUGGUGGCUCAGCCCCAAAAAUGAACAUUGCCAGCACUUCCCAGGCUGAGCCAAAACCCAGCUCUUGUCCUGGGAGGAAAAUCCAGCUGCCAAAAGUGCUGGGAGAAGGAGCUGGGUGAAGGUGAAGGUGAAGGUGAAGGUGAAGGUGAAGGAGCUGGGUGAAGGUGAAGGUGCUCAGGGUGGGCUGGGGUCUCUCCUGUCCCCCCUCAGACCCCACUGCUGCUUCCCCUCCUGCAUUUCCCACCUCUUUCUUUUCACCCCAAAUCUCCCUUUUCCUCCCAAAAAAUCUCCCCUCCCCCCAAAUAUGUAAAACUUCACCCACCUAAUGUGGAUGGAAAGGUGUAAGAGCUUUAUUUGAUCAUCUCCAAUCCUUUUUUUUCCCGUUUUCAGGGUGAUUUUCUCCUUCACCCACAGUGUUGGCAUCACCCUGGGAUGGGCUCCCUGCUGCCAGGCUUUGCCACAGCCCUGGAGCUGCUUUGAGGCAGCCUUUGCCUUCUCCCCCCGCUGUUUCUGCUCUCUCUCCCCGAGGUUUCCAUGGAAGGAGAGGCCGGGUGGGCACUGCCAGGCCCCUCUGCCCCCGCUGUCCCCACCAGGGCUGGCCUUGUCCCCAGCCGGGGAUGGUGGCACAGGGAGCAGAGCUGUGCCACAGCCUGAGCCACCCCUCAGCCGUGCCCCUUCCCUCCUCCCUGCAUCUGGGAGAUCUUCCACAAUUUUAUAUUUUUUUCUUAUUUUACCCCUUUUUUCCCCCUCCACAUCCUGCUGCCCCUUUGCCACAGCCACAAUGCCCGCCCCGUGCUGGGUUCCUGUCAGGUGAGAGCAGAGAUCUGGCACAUCAGAGAUCUGGUUUUGCCCUUGGGUUGAGUUGAGGUUUUGUUAUUUUUCCUUUUUUUCUCCUCUUUUUUCCUGGUGUUGGUUGCUAGAGUGGCACAGCUGCCUCUCCUCUGGGUGUAACCUCUCCAAUAGCUGUGUAUAAUUCAAAUGUAAACUUAUUUUUUUUUUUAAAUAAAAUCUGUACAUACCUUGA